UGGUAACUUGCAGGAUAGUUGGGAUUGUCAGCUUUACAAAUGAAAUUUAAAUGAGCAGAUUCGCUAUUUACAGCCAAGUUGCAGAACAUUUGCUGCAAUUUUGCUUUGCUUAGUGGGUAUGUACCUCCCGUUAAGAAGGGAGACUCUAGGGAUAACAAAGCAGGCGUAGCCCGCGGAAAACUCGUAGACAAAUUUCGAAAUAAGCCACAUUUUUACGUGAAGCCGGGGUGUUGCCCACGAAAACUCAGAAAAAUGAAAAAGAAAAUAUAGAACCGACAAAUUCAAAUUUAGAUGAGACAGUGCAGAACAGCCUUCUAUGGCUCGAACAUAAUAGACAUCCUUUGGAGGAGGUGUACAAAAAUUGGGACAUAACAUUUACUUAUCGAUGACAACAGACUCUAACAAAAGGAAUUAACAGCAAGGAAUUUUUGACGCGAUAUCCUAUUUUAAAACUGCCACUAUGUUGUACGCUAAUGGACGGAGAUUUUGAGAGAAUUUACCCUAAUGUGCAGGAUAUUUUCAAAUUGGAAUACCGUUAUAACCAACAUAAUAAAAUUAAUAAGGAACCUUGUAACGACAGACAGUGACAGGAUUUUAAUAGAGCUUUUGGAAUCACAAAAUUCAAGCGAAAAUCUUA